CCGGGGAGGAUGGAGGAAGGUCUGGGAAAGGGAGAGGAUGCGGGGAGGUCUGGGAGAGGAGACAAGGGAGGAUGGGGAAGUUCUGGGAGAGGGAGAGGAGACAGGGAAGGAUGGUGGAGGUCUGGGAGAGGGAGAGGAGACGGGGAGGAUGGAAAGAGCUCUCGGUGAGGUGAGGAGACAGGGGAGGAUGGGGGAAGUCUGAGAAAGGGGGAGGAUGCGGGGAGGUCUGGGAGAGGGAGAGGAGAUAGGGGAGGAUGGGAGGAGGUCUGGGAGAGGGGGAGGAUGCGGGGAGGUUUGGGAGAGGGAGAGGAGACAGGGGAGGAUGGGAGAAGGUCUGGGAGAGGGAAAGGAGACGGGAGGAUGGGAGAAGGUCUGGGAGAGGGAGAGGAGAUAGGGGAGGUUGGGAGGAGGUCUGGGAGAGGGG
ensembl:lncRNA